UCAUAAUGGUGGGAGUGUUCAUCUGUUAAGUGUCAUCUCACCCAGGACAUGAAUUUCUUUAUUUUCUAACUGUCUCCGCGAGAAAAAGCAGAAAAACUGAAAAAUGGAUGUUGGUGAAGCAGAGUCUGAGGCUAUUGCCCGAGCCUCCCUUCUGGUGGCAAAUAUGCUCCAGAGGCCAGACCAGCUGCAAAAGGUUGACCAGUACAGGAGGCGAGUCCAAAGGAAAAAGGCAUCUGUUGAGGCCAUGUUGAAGA
rnacentral:lncRNA from 1 species